rnacentral:rRNA from 1 species
AUUGAACGCUGGCGGCAUGCCUUACACAUGCAAGUCGAACGGUAACGCGGGGCAACCUGGCGACGAGUGGCGAACGGGUGAGUAAUGCAUCGGAACGUGCCCAGUAGUGGGGGAGUAGCCCGGCGAAAGCCGGAUUAAUACCGCAUACGACCUACGGGUGAAAGCGGGGGACCGGUAAGGCCUCGCGCUGUUGGAGCGGCCGAUGUCAGAUUAGGUAGUUGGUGGGGUAAAGGCCUACCAAGCCUUCGAUCUGUAGCUGGUCUGAGAGGACGACCAGCCACACUGGGACUGAGACACGGCCCAGACUCCUACGGGAGGCAGCAGUGGGGAAGUUUUGG